UUUAAAUGCCAGUUACGUCUGAAGGUUUGAACUGUGAUAAGUCUGAUUUUUUAAAUUCUGAUUCAAUGCAGGCAACUACUAUUU